rnacentral:rRNA from 1 species
UACGGGGGGAGAAAGCGUUGUUCGGAUUUACUGGGCGUAAAGGGCGCGUAGGCGGCCAGAGCAAGUCAGUUGUGAAAUCUCCGGGCUUAACUCGGAAAGGUCAACUGAUACUGCGCGGCUAGAGUGCGGAAGGGGCAACUGGAAUUCUUGGUGUAGCGGUGAAAUGCGUAGAUAUCAAGAGGAACACCUGCGGCGAAGGCGGGUUGCUGGGCCGACACUGACGCUGAUGCGCGAAAGCCAGGGGAGCGAACGGG